AUGUGGGGGCGAAUGUGGAGCUCCGGACGCGGCUCUGGCAGCAGAUCCGGCCGUGAGCGCGACCCAGAGCGCGAGCGGCGCGUCCGGUCGGACGGCGCGAGGAAGCGCGGCGCCCGGAGGUGGACUAACCAAGGGAUGUCGCCGCCGGCGAGCUUCAACCGCCGCGAGACGGAGGAGUACGACCGCCGGCGCGCGUUCUUCUCCUCCGCGAGGUCCUACGCCGGAUCCUCCUCGUCCUCCGGCGCGGGCUUCCUCCCCAUGAAGAGGGAGUGGUCGGACGAGGAGGAGCCGGAGCCGCCGGCGCCGUUCGCCUUCGUCCCGGUGAAGGAGGAGCCCGAGGAGCCCGCUCCGCUUGGCCGCCGCGGAGUCGUCGGGCCCGAGGACUACGUCGCGGAGGACUUCGACGCCGUUGCUGCCGCCAUCGCCGAGCGGAGCAUGCGCGAGGAGGAGGAGCGCAGCCGCCACGCCCAGCAGCUCGAAGCCCUCGAGUGGCAGCAGGCGGUCGCCGCCAACAAGAAGGCUGAGGAGUGGCGCCGCAUCUGCGCGGAGCAGGCGGCGAAGUAUGUCGACCUGUGCAGCUCCUGCGAGGAGGAUUGA
rnacentral:rRNA from 1 species